rnacentral:rRNA from 1 species
CCUACGGGAGGCAGCAGUAGGGAAUAUUGCUCAAUGGGGGAAACCCUGAUGCAGCAACGCCGCGUGGAUGAUGAAGUUUUUCGGAUUGUAAACUCCUUUUGUCAGAGACGAGACUAACCGUAUCCUACCUAUGAACACCCGCUUACCACCUUCCAGCAGCCGCGGGAAUACGGAGGGUGCAAGCGGUACUCGGAAUCCCUGGGCGUUAAGAGGGCGCAGGCGGGCUUGCAAGUACGAUGUGAAAUCCUGUAGCUUAACCACAGAACUGCAUUUGAAACUUUGAGUCUAGAGUGUAGGAGAGGUAGGUGGAAUUCUUGGUGUAGCGGUGAAAUCCGUAGAUAUCAAGAGGAAUACUAGUUGCGAAGGCGACCUACUGGACCGUUACUGACGUUGAUGCACGAAAGCGUGGGGAGCAAACAGGAUUAGAUACCCUUGUAGUC